CAAGAAAGAGGUCUUUGGGAAUGUCCAGCAAGCAAACUGUGUAUCAAAUAUACCAUGAUAUGUGAUGGCUUUCCAGACUGUCCUGACAAUGUGGAUGAAACUAAUUGCUCAUUUUGCAAAAGGGAUGAACUUACAUGUGCCAACCAUGACUGUGUUCCUCGAAAAUCAUGGUGUGAUGGGCAGAUAGACUGUGCUGACAAAUCAGAUGAAUGGAACUGUGUGACCCUGUCUAAAAACAGCAGCUCCUUGAUGUUCCUGACUGUUCACAAGUCAGCUUCCAAUUACCAUGUAUGCGCUGAUGAAUGGGACGAAAAUUUAAGCCAUUUGGCAUGCAAACAAAUGGGUUUAGGGUAAGGUCAGUAGUUUGUAGCAUUGAUCAACUUUUCCAGGUGUGACUAUGAGUCUGGGUGAAGCUGAUUGAGUCUGUGACAAUUUCUUAAUUAGCAAAAACACUGUUUUCUUCCUUUGCUUCUGCUGCCUGUUUACUUAGCGCAAUCUAGACUCUCUGACGUGCCCUGGAUUGCACAUCACACCAUGCCAAAUGGGGCUGCAAGAGUGGAGCUUAUAGCUGUUUUGUUCUUCACUGGACCUUUUUGCUACCAUACCAUGCUGAGCUAAGCCAGGGUAUGGCUUAACAUGGCAUCCAAACCUGGGCUUGUGGCUAGGCUUUCUUCAGACCAACCAUGAGCUGUAACCAAUAAUAAAUGGGUAGAUUAGUAAACCAAAGCUAUAGUUGAUUAAUUGGGAGAAGCCAAAUCUAAUCAAUGAGGCUACAAGUGAAAAGUGCACUUGUUUAUUUUGUGAGGCAGGUUUGGUAUGUUACUGUAAUAGUGAAUGAAAAAGAAAAGGUUAAGCUUUUCUUUUUAACAGUGAGUAGUAGCUUUUUGUUAUUAACACAUACAUAAUUUCACACUUCCUUCAAAAUUGCAUAAAGCCAUGCAUGUUGGGGUUUUGAUAAUAAGCCAGCUUAUCUAAAUGUAACCAGUUGAUUCUAUGAAAGGUAAAUGAUUAACCAGCUAAUCAAUGUUUUCAUAACUUGAGAGGCCUUCUAUGGAGAAUCCAUAAGCUAGGGUUUUAAGGGGAAUUUUGUUGAAAGUGGGAAUCUCAGUGCCAUCCAAAUUUGUUUGGGGAUUAUUAGGAUUGGUUUGGUUGUGCAUGAUGAAGUGAUCAAGUGAGUCACAUUAAAUAAAUACAGUCCCCCCCUAAUGAUAGGGUUAUUGACCACUUGUCCUACUUCUGGCCUUCCAAAGGCAUCUGGUUCACCAAUGUGGGAAAGUAAAUGCUGGAACAGAUAGGGUUUUGGUCUGAUCUAGUGGGGCUCUUAUUAUUAUUUUAUCCAUAUGUUUGAAUUUAUUGCAUGCCCAUUGUAAACCUGACCUCUGAAGCAGCUGGGAGGACAUAAAAGACCCUUUCCGUUUGUUUUGUAAAACUUGAGUUGUUCUCUUCCCUAUAAACUGAAUUCCUAAAAUCUUAUGCUGUUGAUCCUGAUUUAACCACAGUUCUUACAGCGUAAAACACAUUGGUAUAAUAUUUUGUUGCAGAAAACUCUUUUAUGCUAGAUGAGGCUCUUUUGUGGAAGUAUUGUAUGUGUGUGUGGCUUAGGUGUACCACUGUUUAAUCUAGGCAAGAGGGUUUGGGGUACUUUGUUCUGUGCAGACAGGAUAUGAAACACUUCUGCUUAGAUAACCAUACAUGCUGAAUUCAAGUGGCCAAAUAU